rnacentral:tRNA from 1 species
GUAAAAUAGUAUAUAAGUAUAUUUAAUUUCCAAUUAAAUGGUGAAUUUAUAUUUUUAAUU